AAAGGCACACCAUUUGCCUUGAUUUACACGGGGGAGAGGCUGAAAAAAUCUGAAACACAGAAAGUUAAAAAAGCUUGGGGAAGAUCUGAAAAUUUGAAUUUCAAAUUCAAAAACCAAAUCUGAAAUCUGAAAGUAGGGAGCUCAUUCUAGAUCAUAGGUAUUUUGAUAAAUCAGAAAAAAUAGCAGAAAAUCCCAUAAAAAAUACUGUUCUAUUAUAUUUUUAUAAGUUCUUCAUCUUCAAUGCAAUUUCUGAGCAUUAUAGGGUGUGAAAAUGAGUCGAAUUUGGGAUCAAUUUUCCUGCUAAUAGUCAACUGGUCUUCAAAACAAAUUGUAUUCCAUUCCUUUGUUGCUGGUUCUCAUUUGUUGCUGCUGGCUUCAUCUCCUUCUUAUUGUGUUUUAACUCCCAGGUAUUCUUCAAUCUCAAAUGACGUGUGAAGAGUUUUGAAUCAGCAGCUGUAAUUGAAUUACUGAAGAAAUGACAUAUUAUUCAUGUUCUUUCUCAUGUUAAACCACUGGUAGAUAUAUUAGUUUGAAUUCUAGGUUAUGCUGUAGCAGUCGUUGAAAUUUAAAGCUGGACAUUCUAUUAUUUGUACCUGUAUGGAUUUUGUCCAGAUUUAUAUAAAUGUGAUCUUAAUAUGGCAUAAUUAAUGUUAAUUGUUCAUUAUACACAUGCUAAAGCGUGAAAUCCAAGACAAUUAAGACUUUCAAAUUUGGAAUAUUAAGGUCAGUUCAUGUAUAUUAACAGAAGUGUCUCAUGUGCGCAGUUGAAACUCAAAUGAUAUGGACUUUCAAUAAUUGCGAUAACUGGAUUGUAUUUCUCCCUUAAUUUUAGGAACUAUACAAAAGAAAAUACUCAGUUGUAUCAGUUGUUGCCAUUGAAUAGUAUAGACUAUGAACUCUAGUCACUCAAAUGUUCAGCAGUGUUUUAGUUCUUGGCAUUACUGUUUGUCUUUAUGACUGUUUGCCUAAGAUGCUCACUAUU
rnacentral:lncRNA from 1 species